AGUGAACGCUGGCGGUAGGCCUAACACAUGCAAGUCGAACGGCAGCACAGUAAGAUCUUGCUCUUACGGGUGGCGAGUGGCGGACGGGUGAGGAAUACAUCGUAAUCUACUUUUUCGUGGGGGAUAACGUAGGUAAACUUACUCUAAUACCGCAUACGACCUACGGGUGAAAGCAGGGGAUCUUCGGACCUUGCGCGAUUGAAUUAGCCGAUGUCGGAUUAGCUAGUUGGCGGGGUAAAGGCCCACCAAGGCGACGAUCCGUAGCUGGUCUGAGAGGAUGAUCAGCCACACUGGAACUGAGACACGGUCCAGACUCCUACGGGAGGCAGCAGUGGGGAAUAUUGGACAAUGGGCGCAAGCCUGAUCCAGCCAUACCGCGUGGGUGAAGAAGGCCUUCGGGUUGUAAAGCCCUUUUGUUGGGAAAGAAAAGCAGCAGGUUAAUACCCCGCUGUUCUGACGGUACCCAAAGAAUAAGCACCGGCUAACUUCGUG
rnacentral:rRNA from 1 species